rnacentral:rRNA from 1 species
CGGCAAAAGCUCAAAUUUGAAAUCUGGCGUCCUUUGGGCGUCCGAGUUGUAAUUUGGAGGAGCGUCUUCGGGAGCGGCACCGUCCUAAGUUCCGUGGAACCGGACGUCACAGAGGGUGAGAAUCCCGUGCCUGGGCGGUCUGUCCGUUCCCAUGUGAAGUGCUUCCGACGAGUCGAGUUGUUUGGGAAUGCAGCUCAAAAUGGGUGGUAAAUUUCAUCUAAAGCUAAAUAUUGGCGAGAGACCGAUAGCGCACAAGUAGAGUGAUCGAAAGAUGAAAAGCACUUUGAAAAGAGAGUUAAAAAGUACGUGAAAUUGUUGAAAGGGAAGCGCUUGAGAUCAAACUCGGCCUUUGGUGAAGCUCUGGGUUCGCUCUGGGCCGCUCGCCUUUGGCUGGGCCAGCAUCGGUUUCGGCGGUGGGAGAAAUGGUAGUGGAAUGUAGCUCUCUUCGGGGAGUGUUAUAKCCUCUGUCAAAUAUCACCASUCGGGACCGAGGACCGCGCUUCAGGGCUAGGAUGCUGGUGGAAUGGUCUUAAGCGACCCGUCUUGAAACACGGACCA